rnacentral:rRNA from 1 species
UACGUAGGGCGCAAGCGUUAUCCGGAAUUAUUGGGCGUAAAGAGCUCGUAGGCGGUUUGUCGCGUCUGCCGUGAAAGUCCGGGGCUCAACUCCGGAUCUGCGGUGGGUACGGGCAGACUAGAGUGAUGUAGGGGAGACUGGAAUUCCUGGUGUAGCGGUGAAAUGCGCAGAUAUCAGGAGGAACACCGGUGGCGAAGGCGGGUCUCUGGGCCGUA